rnacentral:piRNA from 1 species
AUUCCUAGCCAAAUGGAUGGACC